rnacentral:rRNA from 1 species
AGUCGAGGGGCAGCAUUUCAGCUUUGCUUGCAAACUGGAGAUGGCGACCGGCGCACGGGUGAGUAACACGNUAUCCAACCUGCCGAUAACUCGGGGAUAGCCUUUCGAAAGAAAGAUUAAUACCCGAUGGNAUAAUCAGACCGCAUGGUCUUAUUAUUAAAGAAUUUCGGUUAUCGAUGGGGAUGCGUUCCAUUAGGCAGUUGGUGAGGUAACGGCUCACCAAACCUUCGAUGGAUAGGGGUUCUGAGAGGAAGGUCCCCCACAUUGGAACUGAGACACGGUCCAAACUCCUACGGGAGGCAGCAGUGAGGAAUAUUGGUCAAUGGGCGCAGGCCUGAACCAGCCAAGUAGCGUGAAGGAUGACUGCCCUAUGGGUUGUAAACUUCUUUUAUAUGGGAAUAAAGUUUUCCACGUGUGGAAUUUUGUAUGUACCAUAUGAAUAAGGAUCGGCUAACUCCGUGCCAGCAGCCGCGGUAAUACGGAGGAUCCGAGCGUUAUCCGGAUUUAUUGGGUUUAAAGGGAGCGUAGGUGGACAGUUAAGUCAGUUGUGAAAGUUUGCGGCUCAACCGUAAAAUUGCAGUUGAUACUGGCUGUCUUGAGUACAGUAGAGGUGGGCGGAAUUCGUGGUGUAGCGGUGAAAUGCUUAGAUAUCACGAAGAACUCCGAUUGCGAAGGCAGCUCACUGGACUGCAACUGACACUGAUGCUCGAAAGUGUGGGUAUCAAACAGGAUUAGAUACCCUGGUAGUCCACACAGUAAACGAUGAAUACUCGCUGUUUGCGAUAUACAGUAAGCGGCCAAGCGAAAGCAUUAAGUAUUCCACCUGGGGAGUACGCCGGCAACGGUGAAACUCAAAGGAAUUGACGGGGGCCCGCACAAGCGGAGGAACAUGUGGUUUAAUUCGAUGAUACGCGAGGAACCUUACCCGGGGCUUAAAUUGCAUUUGAAUAAUUUGGAAACAGNNUAGCCGCAAGGCAAAUGUGAAGGUGCUGCAUGGUUGUCGUCAGCUCGUGCCGUGAGGUGUCGGCUUAAGUGCCAUAACGAGCGCAACCCUUAUCUUUAGUUACUAACAGGUCAUGCUGAGGACUCUAGAGAGACUGCCGUCGUAAGAUGUGAGGAAGGUGGGGAUGACGUCAAAUCAGCACGGCCCUUACGUCCGGGGCUACACACGUGUUACAAUGGGGGGUACAGAAGGCAGCUACCUGGUGACAGGAUGCUAAUCCCAAAAGCCUCUCUCAGUUCGGAUCGAAGUCUGCAACCCGACUUCGUGAAGCUGGAUUCGCUAGUAAUCGCGCAUCAGCCAUGGCGCGGUGAAUACGUUCCCGGGCCUUGUACACACCGCCCGUCAAGCCAUGAAAGCCGGGGGUACCUGAAGUACGUAACCGCAAGGAGCUCCUAGG